GACGAACGCUGGCGGCGUGCUUAAUACAUGCAAGUCGAACGGAAAGGCCCUGCUUUUGUGGGGUGCUCGAGUGGCGAACGGGUGAGUAACACGUGAGUAACCUGCCCUUGACUUUGGGAUAACUUCAGGAAACUGGGGCUAAUACCGGAUAGGAGCUCCUGCUGCAUGGUGGGGGUUGGAAAGUUUCGGCGGUUGGGGAUGGACUCGCGGCUUAUCAGCUUGUUGGUGGGGUAGUGGCUUACCAAGGCUUUGACGGGUAGCCGGCCUGAGAGGGUGACCGGCCACAUUGGGACUGAGAUACGGCCCAGACUCCUACGGGAGGCAGCAGUGGGGAAUAUUGCACAAUGGGCGGAAGCCUGAUGCAGCAACGCCGCGUGCGGGAUGACGGCCUUCGGGUUGUAAACCGCUUUCGCCUGUGACGAAGCGUGAGUGACGGUAAUGGGUAAAGAAGCACUGGCUAACUACGUG
rnacentral:rRNA from 1 species